rnacentral:misc_RNA from 1 species
GCAAACUUGGUCAUUUAGAGGAAGUAAAAGUCGUAACAAGGUUUCCGUAGGUGAACCUGCGGAAGGAUCAUUAUUGAAUUAAAUGAAGAGACUUUGGUUGUCGCUGGCUCGUUAACUCUGGCAUGUGCACACCUCUGUCUCUUUCAUCCACACACACCUGUGCACUUGUGAGACAGAUGGGGAAUUUAUUUAUGAUUUUUUGGCAACAAAAAUGGAAUAAUUAUUGGACCCUCUGUCUACUCAACCCUCAUAUAAACUCAAUUUAUUUUAAAAUGAAUGUAAUGGAUGUAACACAUCUAAUACUAAGUUUCAACAACGGAUCUCUUGGCUCUCGCAUCGAUGAAGAACGCAGC